AUAUGUAAUACUAAAGGUAUAUGGGCAGUUCCUAUAAGUGGAAGGCGUUCGGACUAAGUGAAACAGAUAGUGUAUCGUUCUCUCACUCUUCCGAUCGCAUUUGUCAGCUCUGCGCAUUUUUCGUGCGCACUAUUUAAAAUUUUUAAAUGGUAACCAUGGUUACCAUAUUUUAGAGAAUUCUCAAGCAUGCGCAGUAUAGAUAAAAUGUCUCGAAGGAGAGCGAAAACAAAUAUUGUCGGCACCGUAAAGUUUGGACAUUCUUUCCCGUACCAACUGCCCAUAUACCUUUAGUAUUACAUAUAUGGUAAGAAGAGUCUUUAAAUUAAUGU